AUACGGAGGAUGCGAGCGUUAUCCGGAUUUAUUGGGUUUAAAGGGUGCGUAGGCUGUGCGUUAAGUCAGGGGUGAAAUGCCGUCGCUCAACGACGGAGCUGCCCUUGAUACUGGCGUGCUGGAGUACGGAUGCCGUUGGAGGAAUGAGUGGUGUAGCGGUGAAAUGCUUAGAUAUCACUCAGAACCCCGACUGCGAAGGCAUCUGACGAAUACGUCACUGACGCUGAGGCACGAAAGCGUGGGGAUAGAACAGGAUUAGAUACCCUGGUUUUCCACGCCGUAAACGAUGAUGACUACCCGUCGGCGAUAGACAGCCGGUGGCCAAGCGAAAGCGAUAAGUCAUCCACCUGGGGAGUACGUCGGCAACGAUGAAACUCAAAUGCAUUGACGGGG
rnacentral:rRNA from 1 species